UCUAGGGAGAAAGGCCACAUGUCCCAGUCUCAAAGCAGUGUCUGUGGCUCAGGGCUGCCAUUGCCUUCAGCACACACGCUGCUCAAGCAGCCCCCCAAAGUCUGGCCCUCUGAAAUCCACAGGAGAUCCAGUGGAAUGUUUCUUUCUCUGGGGAUUCCGGUUGCCUUCAUGAGGUUGGCACCAAGCUCGGUCCUUGCAAAAUUUGUGGCUUCUUCUUGACCACGCUGACUCCACAUCCACCUACUGAGAAUUAGAAGGUUGCAAGUCCAAUUCAAAGCAGCAUGAUGUAGCCCUUCUUCGUGUUCCUGGUAUGGCCAGUUCCAAGUCACCAAAGCCCAGGUGUACUCUGCCCAGCACACCCUUCUGCUGCUCUGAACUGCACUGACAUGUGGUUAUCAGCUGAGGCAUUGGAUGAAACCAAUCAUUACCCAAAUCAAACAUCAGCAUGGCUCAGACUGGAUGGUCAAAUGCCACUUGGAGACAUUUAGGGAAAGAUGAUCACUUUGGGAGUCCAGAUUUCACCUCCUUCACCUUGUUGCUGUUUCCUGCCAUUCUGGGGGAUUGAAAACCAAGAGAGAAUUGGACGAUUUGGCUGGGUAGAGUAACUUGGUGCUCUCUGCCAGCUGCAAACACUCAGUAAACAAUGCCGAAUCGCCAAGGGAAAAAUAAAAGUCCAUUAACAGUG